rnacentral:rRNA from 1 species
CGAGCGAAUGGAUUAAGAGCUUGCUCUUAUGAAGUUAGCGGCGGACGGGUGAGUAACACGUGGGUAACCUGCCCAUAAGACUGGGAUAACUCCGGGAAACCGGGGCUAAUACCGGAUAACAUUUUGAACCGCAUGGUUCGAAAUUGAAAGGCGGCUUCGGCUGUCACUUAUGGAUGGACCCGCGUCGCAUUAGCUAGUUGGUGAGGUAACGGCUCACCAAGGCAACGAUGCGUAGCCGACCUGAGAGGGUGAUCGGCCACACUGGGACUGAGACACGGCCCAGACUCCUACGGGAGGCAGCAGUAGGGAAUCUUCCGCAAUGGACGAAAGUCUGACGGAGCAACGCCGCGUGAGUGAUGAAGGCUUUCGGGUCGUAAAACUCUGUUGUUAGGGAAGAACAAGUGCUAGUUGAAUAAGCUGGCACCUUGACGGUACCUAACCAGAAAGCCACGGCUAACUACGUGCCAGCAGCCGCGGUAAUACGUAGGUGGCAAGCGUUAUCCGGAAUUAUUGGGCGUAAAGCGCGCGCAGGUGGUUUCUUAAGUCUGAUGUGAAAGCCCACGGCUCAACCGUGGAGGGUCAUUGGAAACUGGGAGACUUGAGUGCAGAAGAAGAAAGUGGAAUUCCAUGUGUAGCGGUGAAAUGCGUAGAGAUAUGGAGGAACACAGUGGCGAAAGCCACUUUCUCGUCUGUAACUUACACUGACGC